rnacentral:rRNA from 1 species
GAUGAACGCUGGCGGCGUGCCUAAUACAUGCAAGUCGAGCGAUCAGACGAGGAGCUUGCUCCUCUGACGUUAGCGGCGGACGGGUGAGUAACACGUGGAUAACCUACCUAUAAGACUGGGAUAACUUCGGGAAACCGGAGCUAAUACCGGAUAACAUGUUGAACCGCAUGGUUCAACAGUGAAAGACGGUCUUGCUGUCACUUAUAGAUGGAUCCGCGCCGCAUUAGCUAGUUGGUAAGGUAACGGCUUACCAAGGCAACGAUGCGUAGCCGACCUGAGAGGGUGAUCGGCCACACUGGAACUGAGACACGGUCCAGACUCCUACGGGAGGCAGCAGUAGGGAAUCUUCCGCAAAGGGCGAAAGCCUGACGGAGCAACGCCGCGUGAGUGAAGAAGGUCUUCGGAUCGUAAAACUCUGUUAUUAGGGAAGAACAAAUGUGUAAGUAACUAUGCACGUCUUGACGGUACCUAAUCAGAAAGCCACGGCUAACUACGUG